AUAAGGAACUUCGCCAAGCCUUUAACCGCCUGUCUCUGAAGGUGGGACAGAACCAGUGGAGACCCAUCGCCCGGGAGUUGGGCUUCAGCAAACAGGAGAUUAAAGACAUUGAGUCUGAAAGUCCAGACGAACCGAUGUACGAGACGCUGGUAAGAUGGAGAGAGCGAGCCGGUCCUGCUGCCAGCCUGGCUGUCCUGGAGCGGUGUCUGAGGGACCUGGACCUGCACCAGCUGGCAGACCAGAUCACCAGGACGGCUAUGAGCCCGACUCGCAGAGGACAUGAGUCAGAAGAAAGCGGAGCAGUCGGAGGCCAGCUGCUGGGUGAGGUGCAGAGGAG